UACGUAGGGCGCAAGCGUUAUCCGGAAUUAUUGGGCGUAAAGAGCUCGUAGGCGGUUUGUCGCGUCUGCCGUGAAAGUCCGGGGCUCAACUCCGGAUCUGCGGUGGGUACGGGCAGACUAGAGUGAUGUAGGGGAGACUGGAAUUCCUGGUGUAGCGGUGAAAUGCGUAGAUAUCGGGAGGAACACCAGUGGCGAAGGCGAUCAUCUGGGGUUGUUCUGACACUGAGGAGCGAAAGCUAGGGGAGCAAACGGG
rnacentral:rRNA from 1 species